rnacentral:lncRNA from 1 species
UGUGUAUGUGGUGUGUGUGGUAUGUAUGUGUGGUGUGUGUGUUGUGUAUGUGGUGUGUGUGGCAUGUAUGUUGCAUGCACGAGUGUGUUGUGUGUGUUAUGUGUGCACUGCAUGUGUGCGUGUGUUGUGUGUUGCGCGUGUUGUGUGUAUGUGUUGUGUAUGUGAUGUGUGUUGCACGUGUGUGUUGUGUAUGUGGUGUGUGCUGUUUGUGUGGUGUGUGUGUUGUGUAUGUGGUGUGUGUGAGUGUGUGUUGUGUAUGUGGUGUGUGUGAGUGUGUGUUGUGUAUGUGGUGUGUUGUGUGCGUGUGUGUUGUGUAUGUGAUGUGUGCUGGGUUUGUGGUGUG